UACGAAGGGGGCUAGCGUUGUUCGGAUUUACUGGGCGUAAAGCGCACGUAGGCGGAUUGGUCAGUUAGGGGUGAAAUCCCAGAGCUCAACUCUGGAACUGCCUUUAAUACUGCCAAUCUAGAGUCCGGAAGAGGUAAGUGGAACUCCUAGUGUAGAGGUGGAAUUCGUAGAUAUUAGGAAGAACACCAGUGGCGAAGGCGGCUCACUGGCCCGGUACUGACGCUGAGGUGCGAAAGCGUGGGGAGCAAACAGG
rnacentral:rRNA from 1 species